UACGACGGGGGCUCGCGUUGCUCGGAAGCACUGGGCGUAAAGCGCACGCAGGCGGAUCGAUAAGUCGGGGGUGAAAGCCCGGGGAUCAACCUCGGAAUUGCCUUCGAUACUGUCGGUCUCGAGUGCGGGAGAGGGGAGUGGAAUUCCUAGUGUAGAGGGGAAAUUCGUAGAUAUUAGGAAGAACACCAGUGGCGAAGGCGGCUCACUGGGCCGGUACUGACGCUCAGGUGCGAAAGCGUGGGGAGCGAACAGG
rnacentral:rRNA from 1 species